rnacentral:rRNA from 1 species
UACGUAGGGGGCAAGCGUUGUCCGGAUUUAUUGGGCGUAAAGAGCGUGUAGGCGGCCUGACAGGUCUGCUGUGAAAACUCGAGGCUCAACCUCGAGAUGUCGGCGGAAACCGUCUGGCUAGAGUCCGGAAGAGGAGAGUGGAAUUCCUGGUGUAGCGGUGAAAUGCGCAGAUAUCAGGAGGAACACCGGUGGCGAAGGCGGGUCGUCUGGGCCGAUACUGACGCUGAGGAGCGAAAGCGUGGGGAGCGAACAGG